GUGAGAAGCAAAGUCAACUGAUAUAUAGUUCACACACUUAGAUUUAAUUAGACGUCGGCUUCGGAGAUGAGACGACUCCCCCACACAUAUGUUUAACAUAAGAAGUCAUAUGUCAGAGGUUUAUAUUUUCGACUUAUCUAGUUAAAGGCUGGUUGAUAAACGAUGUGGUUAAGGAUAUAUCGUUAGCAAAACAUUGUGAUUAUGGCUUUCAAUCCGAGUGAAGGUGAAGGGUCGUCGUCGUGUAGGGAGCUGGCGAGAGCGAUUCUGAAGUUAGGAGAUGGUGGAACCUGCGAAGGAGCAUGAGUUGCAACGUAUGAAUAUGUUGAUGGACAUGCAAAUGGAGCUUGAAAGAUCCAAGCUUGCCAAACGUAGAGCUGCUGCUGCUUCAGGUAAGAAGUUGUAGGGAUUAGAUUGUGGAGAAGCUAUACUGUAGUAAAAAAGGAGCAUUGGUUGGAUCUGAGAGCUCAUUCGGAAUUGGAGAAACUGUUAUUAUUCUUACUCACUAGGUUUCAUGCUAGAGCAAUGUGUUUUUCUUCUGUUUCAUUCUCUUCUUUAGGGUACGUUGGUAGCAAAGCAGAUUGGUGAAAGAAACGCUUGUAGUAAUCUGACAGACAUAUCACCA